rnacentral:rRNA from 1 species
GGAGUCUGCAACCCGACUCCAUGAAGCUGGAUUCGCUAGUAAUCGCGCAUCAGCCAUGGCGCGGUGAAUACGUUCCCGGGCCUUGUACACACCGCCCGUCAAGCCAUGGGAGCCGGGAGUGCCUGAAGUGCGUGACCGCAAGGAGCGCCCUGAGGCAAGACCGGUGACUGGGGCUAAGUCGUAACAAGGUAUC